CGAAGAACAACUUCCUGCGUAGAGUGCGCCGUACCGGAUUUGCGUGUUCCUAUGGAAACCAGGCAGGCCGGUGGCUGAGAGGGUGUUCUGCAAGUUAUUGCCUUCUUCAGAAGUUUUUCAGAUUUGGAAACUAACUUUUGAGGAGCCAAGUGUCUUACCAAGAGUUGCCCAGCUGGAGCCCACCACUGCUACAGGACCCCAGGGCUGGUGACAUAAUUUGACGGGCCCAGGGCAAAAUGAAAAUGCAGGGCACCACUCCCCAACCCCGUUCCCUGCCCCCCUGCCCCUGCCCCAAUUCAAAAAGUGGGGGAAAGUUUCUUCUUUUCUUCUGUGGUGUCUUUUGACCUGUCAUGUGCUUUUUAUUUGGUGUUUAAUGAGGUGCUCCUUCAAGCAACCGGGAUGCCUUGGGGCUAGUGCCCACCUUCACAGGUGCCUGGGACUCAUGUUUGAGGCCCCAGGGAGGGGUGUCUGUACUGGACCAAGAUGGCAGCAAUUGCUAGGCAGAGUCUGGGAAGUAGGAAGCCAGAGAAUCCGAAUGGGAGUAUGUGAUAGGAAAGACUACACUGAUCUGAGACUAAGCUCUUGACAUAUGUUCCAUUGUCCCACUGGAUUUCACUUAACAAAAGUCAAAUUCGCAAACUUAUUAAGAAUUUCAAUACUGUAAUGAAAGAAAAUUUAAACCAGGCCCACUUCUGAGCUUCUGCCCCAAAAGAGGGUGCUGUGUAGAGUCUAUGCUCUUGAUUCCUGAGUCUGUAUUCAGUUUACAACUUAGUCUUGUCUUUGGAUUGGUAUUCUUUAAUGUGUGAUUUGGGCACAGGUGGAUUAACCCCAACUUCCUGUUUGACUAGUGUUGCAUAAAGGUAGUUUUUGUAUUCAUAAAUCAUAUGCUGAAAUUGUAAUUAUCUUGUUAUUCAGCUAGUUCUUCUUAUCAAAACUGAUCUCCUGGAGUGAAGGGGCUUUUCACCCCAGUUGGGAGUAGGCACUUUAGUCAUAAAAUAUAUAGGAAAGGAUGUUUUAAAGAUAAAUAUAGAGCUUAUGGAAAAUCUGUCUUCUAAUUCAGGAAAAAGGUGUUUUUAAUAUGAUUCCAUAAUUCUUUAAAAUUAUUAUUUACAGUUUUCUACUUUUAUUUUGAAAUUUUUUAUGUACUGUUGGUUCUUUUAUGUGAUCAGUUCAGUUUAGUUCAGUCACUCAGUCGUGUCUGACUUUUUGUGACCCCAUGGACUGCAGUACAGCAGGCCUCCCUGUCUAUCACCAGUACCUGGGGUUUACUCAAACUCAUGUCCAUUGAGUUGGUGAUGCCAUCCAACCAUCUCAUCCUCUGUCGUCCCCUUAUCCUGCCCUCAAUCUUUCCCAGCAUCAGGGUCUUUUCAAAUGAGUCAGUUCUUUGCAGCAGGUGGCCAAAGUAUUGGAGUUUCAGCUUCAGCAUCAGUCCUUCCAGUCAACAUUCAGGACUGAUUUCCUUUAGAAUGGACUGGUUGGAUCUCCUUGCAGUCCAAGGGACUCUCAAGAGUCUUCUCCAACACCACAGUUCAAAACCAUCAAUUCUUUGACAUUCAGCUUUCUUUAUAGUCCAACUCUCACAUCCAUACAUGACUACUGGAAAAACCAUAGCCUUGACUAGAUGGACCUUUGUCGGCAAAGUAAUGUCUCUGCUUUUGAAUAUGCUGUCUAGGUUGAUCAUAACUUUUCUUUCAAGGAGUAAGCACCUUUUAAUUUCAUGGCUAAGCACCACAUGGCUAAUUUUAUGUGAUAAUCUUUCAGUAAACUUAGAUAUCAUUUUUAAAGUGACUAGUAGUUUUUCAUUGUCCCUGAUGUAUCACUUCCCUAUCUAUCGUCUCUGUCUUUUGAUGCUGCAAUCUCAAAAAUUUUGAUUCUUUACAAAGGUGAUUCUAGUAAUGAAUAUGUCCUCUAAUAAUAAUUAUUAAUAUUUAUGUUAAUCAGGCUACAUGUUUCUCUAGAAAGCAGUGCCUGCUUGUUUUAUUCUUGAAGAACUGAGCUGGAUCAAGUAAAUGCUGUCAGAGAUAUGAAACAGCAAUAGUAUUACCAUUAAAAGCAACUGGUAUGAGACCUCUUUUGUCUUUAUUACAGUGUUCCAUUUAGUGGAAGUAAGGAUUCCCAAACAUAUACAAUGGGGACUCAAGUUUUCCAACUUGAAGUUUCUUAAGACUUUCUCAGAUUCCACUGUAUUUGUCUACUCAGGCUACAACAAAAUACCACAGACUGGGUGACUUAACAGAAAUUUCUUUUCUUACAUUUGCUAGAGCUUCUAAUAUAUUCUAGAUCAUUCUUGAUUUUAAUGGGAAUAGCUUUAAUAUUUUACUAUUUGAAGUGACAUUUUGUGUUUGUUGUAGUGAAUAAUAAAACUCAGGUAGUUUUCUUGUAUUUGUCUAGCUUUUUUUUUUUUUUUUGGAUAUGUAGAAAUGGUUGAUGAAAUUCAUCGUGUGCUUUUUCAGUUUCUUUUGCUUUGUUCAUAUAGUGUUUUUUUCCCUUUAAAGCAUUUCCCCCACAUAUGUUCUAAUUUUAUUGUGACCUUUGGAAAGGUAUAGGUGUGGACCUUAGCAUCAGGCCUGCCUGUAUGUGGACCCUAGCAGUGGGCCUCCUCAUCUGUGUCCCAUGCACAGCCCUCACCAGCCAUCCUUCCUGUGGACCCUGCAAGUAGUCCCACCCAGGAUCUCUGAGCAGUUUGCCUGGUGAAUGACUUUCCUGUGAAGCCAGAUUGAAAAGUCUAUUAGAGGACAAUGCGAGGCUACUAUGAUAAUGGAAAUCAAGGAAACAUGAUACCGCCAAAGAAGCAAAAUAAAGAUCAAGUAACCGACCCUAAGAGAAGGGUGACUAGCAAUUUUCCUGACAGAGAAUUCAAAAUAAUGAUCUUAUAUUAACCUCAGUGAACUAAAAGAGAGCAGACACAUAAAAUGAAAUAGUAUCAAGAAAACAAUAUAUUAAUAAAAUGAGAAAUUCAACAUCCUUUCAUGGUAAAAACUCUCAACAAAUUAGGUAUAGCAGAAAUGUACCUCAGCAUAAUAAAAUCCAUGUGUAACAAGCCCACAGCUAACAGCUAAAAGGUUGAAAACUUUUCCUCUGAUGUCAAGAAUGAGACAAGGAUGCCCACUCCCACUACUCCUAUGCAACAUAAUACUGGAAAUCCUAGCCAGGGCAAUUUGGCAAGAAAAGGAAAUAAAGGGCAUCAAAAUUUAAAAAGAAGAAUGAUUUCUGUUUGCAGAUGACAUGAUCUUAUGUGUAGAAACCUUGAAAAUUCCACACACACAAAACAUGAACUAAUAAUAUACACAUUCUAUAAAGUUUCAGAAUAAAAAUCAACAAAUAAAAAUUGUGUUUCUGUACACUUAACAAUGUUCUAUCCCAAAAGCAAAUUAAGAAAACAACCCCAUUUAAAAUAGCAGAAGAAAGAAUAAGAUAUUUAAACUAAAUGUAAUAAGGAGGUGUGAAACUUGUACACUAAAAACUAUAAAACACUGAUGAAAGAAAUUAAAGCAGGGCAAAUAAAUGAAAAGAUGAUCCUGUGUCUAUGGACUGGAAAAAUAAAUACUGCUAAAAUGCCCAUACUACCCAAAGCAAAUUCAAUGCUUUUAAAUAGAAAAAAUAAUCCUAAAAUGCAUAUGGACUUAUUAAAGACCGUAAAUAACCAAAACAGUUUUGAGCAGGAAUAAUAAACCUGGAGGCAUCACCCAUCCUUUUCAAAAUAUACUACAAAGCUACAGUAAUCACAACAGUAUGGAAACAGUAUGGUAAAAGCAGGCAUGCGUGUGCGUGCGCACGCGCGCGCGCACACACACACACACACACACACACACACAAAUGGCACAGAAUAAAUGUUCCAGUAAUAAGCCCACACAUAUAAAGUCGAUUGAUUUUUUUUUACAAAAAUGCCAAGAAUAUACACUGGG
ensembl:lncRNA